GACGAACGCUGGCGGCGUGCUUAACACAUGCAAGUCGAGCGGUAAGGCCCUUUCGGGGGUACACGAGCGGCGAACGGGUGAGUAACACGUGGGUGACCUGCCCUCAGCUCUGGGAUAAGCCUGGGAAACCGGGUCUAAUACCGGAUAUGACUCCAUGACGCAUGUUGUGGGGUGGAAAGCCUUGUGCGGCUGAGGAUGGGCCCGCGGCCUAUCAGCUUGUUGGUGGGGNGAUGGCCUACCAAGGCGACGACGGGUAGCCGGCCGUGAGAGGGCGACCGGCCGACACUGGGACUGAGACACGGCCCAGACUCCUACGGGAGGCAGCAGUGGGGAAUCUUGCGCAAUGGGCGAAAGCCUGACGCAGCGACGCCGCGUGAGGGAUGACGGCCU
rnacentral:rRNA from 1 species